rnacentral:rRNA from 1 species
UACGAAGGGUGCAAGCGUUUAAUCGGAAUUACUGGGCGUAAAGCGUGCGUAGGCGGUUUGUUAAGUCCGUUGUGAAAGCCCUGGGCUCAACCUGGGAAUUGCAGUGGAUACUGGCAAGCUAGAGUCAGGUAGAGGGUGGUGGAAUUCCCGGUGUAGCGGUGAAAUGCGUAGAGAUCGGGAGGAACAUCUGUGGCGAAGGCGGCCACCUGGACCAUGACUGACGCUGAGGCACGAAAGCGUGGGGGAGCAAACAGG